rnacentral:rRNA from 2 species
AUGGACGCAAGUCUGAUGGAGCAACGCCGCGUGAGUUGAAGAAGGCUUUCGGGUCGUAAAACUCUGUUGUUGGAGAAGAAUGGUCGGCAGAGUAACUGUUGUCGGCGUGACGGUAUCCAACCAGAAAGCCACGGCUAACUACGUGCCAGCAGCCGCGGUAAUACGUAGGUGGCAAGCGUUAUCCGGAUUUAUUGGGCGUAAAGCGAGCGCAGGCGGUUUUUUAAGUCUGAUGUGAAAGCCCUCGGCUUAACCGAGGAAGUGCAUCGGAAACUGGGAAACUUGAGUGCAGAAGAGGACAGUGGAACUCCAUGUGUAGCGGUGAAAUGCGUAGAUAUAUGGAAGAACACCAGUGGCGAAGGCGGCUGUCUGGUCUGUAACUGACGCUGAGGCUCGAAAGCAUGGGUAGCGAACAGGAUUAGAUACCCUGGUAGUCCAUGCCGUAAACGAUGAAUGCUAGGUGUUGGAGGGUUUCCGCCCUUCAGUGCCGCAGCUAACGCAUUAAGCAUUCCGCCUGGGGAGUACGACCGCAAGGUUGAAACUCAAAGGAAUUGACGGGGGCCCGCACAAGCGGUGGAGCAUGUGGUUUAAUUCGAAGCAACGCGAAGAACCUUACCAGGUCUUGACAUCUUUUGAUC